UACGUAGGGGGCGAGCGUUGUCCGGAUUUAUUGGGCGUAAAGAGCGUGUAGGCGGUUCGGUAAGUCUGUCGUGAAAUCCUGAGGCUCAACCGCGGGCCUGCAUUCGAUACGGGCAGGCUAGAGUUCGGUAGGGGAGACUGGAAUUCCUGGUGUAGCGGUGAAAUGCGCAGAUAUCAGGAAGAACACCCGUGGCGAAGGCGGGUUGCUGGGCUGAUACUGACGCUGAGGCGCGAAAGCCAGGGGAGCGAACGGGG
rnacentral:rRNA from 1 species